rnacentral:rRNA from 1 species
GACGAACGCUGGCGGCGUGCCUAAUACAUGCAAGUAGAACGCUGAAGAGAGGAGCUUGCUCUUCUUGGAUGAGUUGCGAACGGGUGAGUAACGCGUAGGUAACCUGCCUUGUAGCGGGGGAUAACUAUUGGAAACGAUAGCUAAUACCGCAUAACAAUAGGUGACACAUGUCAUUUAUUUGAAAGGGGCAAUUGCUCCACUACAAGAUGGACCUGCGUUGUAUUAGCUAGUAGGUGAGGUAACGGCUCACCUAGGCGACGAUACAUAGCCGACCUGAGAGGGUGAUCGGCCACACUGGGACUGAGACACGGCCCAGACUCCUACGGGAGGCAGCAGUAGGGAAUCUUCGGCAAUGGGGGCAACCCUGACCGAGCAACGCCGCGUGAGUGAAGAAGGUUUUCGGAUCGUAAAGCUCUGUUGUAAGUCAAGAACGAGUGUGAGAGUGGAAAGUUCACACUGUGACGGUAGCUUACCAGAAAGGGACGGCCAACUACGUG